rnacentral:rRNA from 1 species
GACGAGCGCUGGCGGCGUGCUUAACACAUGCAAGUCGAACGGAAAGGCCCUGCUUUUGUGGGGUGCUCGAGUGGCGAACGGGUGAGUAACACGUGAGUAACCUGCCCUUGACUUUGGGAUAACUUCAGGAAACUGGGGCUAAUACCGGAUAGGAGCUCCUGCUGCAUGGUGGGGGUUGGAAAGUUUCGGCGGUUGGGGAUGGACUCGCGGCUUAUCAGCUUGUUGGUGGGGUAGUGGCUUACUAAGGCUUUGACGGGUAGCCGGCCUGAGAGGGUGACCGGCCACAUUGGGACUGAGAUACGGCCCAGACUCCUACGGGAGGCAGCAGUGGGGAAUAUUGCACAAUGGGCGGAAGCCUGAUGCAGCAACGCCGCGUGCGGGAUGACGGCCUUCGGGUUGUAAACCGCUUUCGCCUGUGACGAAGCGUGAGUGACGGUAAUGGGUAAAGAAGCACCGGCUAACUACGUG